rnacentral:rRNA from 1 species
CCUAACACAUGCAAGUCGAACGGAGCUUAGAGAGCUUGCUUUUUAAGCUUAGUGGCGAACGGGUGAGUAACGCGUGAGUAACCUGCCCUAGAGUGGGGGACAACAGUUGGAAACGACUGCUAAUACCGCAUAAGCCCACGGUACCGCAUGGUACUGAGGGAAAAGGAUUUAUUCGCUUUAGGAUGGACUCGCGUCCAAUUAGCUAGUUGGUGAGGUAACGGCCCACCAAGGCGACGAUUGGUAGCCGGACUGAGAGGUUGAACGGCCACAUUGGGACUGAGACACGGCCCAGACUCCUACGGGAGGCAGCAGUGGGGGAUAUUGCACAAUGGGGGAAACCCUGAUGCAGCGACGCCGCGUGGAGGAAGAAGGUUUUCGGAUUGUAAACUCCUGUCGUUAGGGACGAUAAUGACGGUACCUAACAAGAAAGCACCGGCUAACUACGUGCCAGCAGCCGCGGUAAAACGUAGGGUGCAAGCGUUGUCCGGAAUUACUGGGUGUAAAGGGAGCGCAGGCGGGAAGACAAGUUGGAAGUGAAAACCAUGGGCUCAACCCAUGAAUUGCUUUCAAAACUGUUUUUCUUGAGUAGUGCAGAGGUAGAUGGAAUUCCCGGUGUAGCGGUGGAAUGCGUAGAUAUCGGGAGGAACACCAGUGGCGAAGGCGGUCUACUGGGCACCAACUGACGCUGAGGCUCGAAAGCAUGGGUAGCAAACAGGAUUAGAUACCCUGGUAGUCCAUGCCGUAAACGAUGAUUACUAGGUGUUGGGGGAUUGACCCCCUCAGUGCCGCAGUUAAAACAAUAAGUAAUCCACCUGGGGAGUACG